rnacentral:rRNA from 1 species
CGGAUCUCAGAUCAAGCAAGAGGACCCGCCGAAUUUAAGCAUAUAAUUAAGCGGAGGAAAAGAAACUAACUAGGAUUCCCUCAGUAACGGCGAGUGAAGCGGGACUAGCUCAGGAUGUGAAUCUGCGCUUUUAUGGCGCCGAAUUGUGGUCUGUAGACUUUGACGUUAUCUGCCGGGCCAAGUUCCUUGGAAAAGGACAGCUGAGAGGGUGAAACUCCCGUCCGCCUGGUAGAAUGAGUCUUUGUCAACGAGUCGAGUUGUUUGGGAUUGCAGCUCUAAUUUGGUGGUAAAUUCCAUCUAAAGCUAAAUAUUGGUGGGAGACCGAUAGCGUACAAGUACCGUGAGGGAAAGAUGCAAAGAACUUUGAAAAGAGAGUUAAAGAGUACCUGAAAUUGCUGAAACGGAAGCGAAGGAAACCAGUGUUUGUU